AGUCGAACGAUGAUGCCCAGCUUGCUGGGUGGAUUAGUGGCGAACGGGUGAGUAACACGUGAGUAACCUGCCCCUGACUCUGGGAUAAGCGUUGGAAACGACGUCUAAUACUGGAUAUGAUCACUGGCCGCAUGGUCUGGUGGUGGAAAGAUUUUUUGGUUGGGGAUGGACUCGCGGCCUAUCAGCUUGUUGGUGAGGUAAUGGCUCACCAAGGCGACGACGGGUAGCCGGCCUGAGAGGGUGACCGGCCACACUGGGACUGAGACACGGCCCAGACUCCUACGGGAGGCAGCAGUGGGGAAUAUUGCACAAUGGGCGAAAGCCUGAUGCAGCAACGCCGCGUGAGGGAUGACGGCCUUCGGGUUGUAAACCUCUUUUAGUAGGGAAGAAGCGAAAGUGACGGUACCUGCAGAAAAAGCACCGGCUAACUACGUGCCAGCAGCCGCGGUAAUACGUAGGGUGCAAGCGUUGUCCGGAAUUAUUGGGCGUAAAGAGCUCGUAGGCGGUUUGUCGCGUCUGCUGUGAAAUCCCGAGGCUCAACCUCGGGCUUGCAGUGGGUACGGGCAGACUAGAGUGCGGUAGGGGAGAUUGGAAUUCCUGGUGUAGCGGUGGAAUGCGCAGAUAUCAGGAGGAACACCGAUGGCGAAGGCAGAUCUCUGGGCCGUAACUGACGCUGAGGAGCGAAAGCAUGGGGGAGCGAACAGGAUUAGAUACCCUGGUAGUCCAUGCCGUAAACGUUGGGCGCUAGAUGUAGGGACCUUUCCACGGUUUCUGUGUCGUAGCUAACGCAUUAAGCGCCCCGCCUGGGGAGUACGGCCGCAAGGCUAAAACUCAAAGGAAUUGACGGGGGCCCGCACAAGCGGCGGAGCAUGCGGAUUAAUUCGAUGCAACGCGAAGAACCUUACCAAGGCUUGACAUACACCGGAAACGGCCAGAGAUGGUCGCCCCCUUGUGGUCGGUGUACAGGUGGUGCAUGGUUGUCGUCAGCUCGUGUCGUGAGAUGUUGGGUUAAGUCCCGCAACGAGCGCAACCCUCGUUCUAUGUUGCCAGCGGGUUAUGCCGGGGACUCAUAGGAGACUGCCGGGGUCAACUCGGAGGAAGGUGGGGAUGACGUCAAAUCAUCAUGCCCCUUAUGUCUUGGGCUUCACGCAUGCUACAAUGGCCGGUACAAAGGGCUGCGAUACCGUAAGGUGGAGCGAAUCCCAAAAAGCCGGUCUCAGUUCGGAUUGAGGUCUGCAACUCGACCUCAUGAAGUCGGAGUCGCUAGUAAUCGCAGAUCAGCAACGCUGCGGUGAAUACGUUCCCGGGCCUUGUACACACCGCCCGUCAAGUCAUGAAAGUCGGUAACACCCGAAGCCGGUGGCCUAACCCUUGUGG
rnacentral:rRNA from 1 species